CUCUAUAUAUAUAUAUAUAUAUGUAUGUAUGUAUGUACACAUACACAAGUAUAUAUGAAUAUAUAUAUAAACCAGAGCCAUAUAGAGAGAGAGUUAGCAUAACUCCAUUGACUCCAAUGGAAAGUUUUUUUUACAGCAAUGGCGGCUCGUGGAGCCUCUCAAUAGUUCCCGGAAGUAGCAGCAAACACAUGCCGCGCCGUAGAGAUGCAGCAGAACAAACCGUUUGCGACGCACUUUUAAAAGGUCUAGGGGUGCAUCGUGGUGCAGGGGCCCUCCUCUUUUUGACCACAGGACGAUGCACAAAGAUGUGGGGAAGCCAUACAUUCGCACACCUUUCUCACCUUGGAGCAUCCCAAUGCAGCACAGCAAACCAUGGUGAAGACUAUGCAACG